ACCAAGCGCAAUGGCGCGUGCCUGUAGUCCCAGCUACUCAGGAGGCUGAGGUGGGAGGAUCACGUGAGCCCAGGAGUUCUGGGCUAUAGUGCACUAUGCUGAUUGGGUGUCUGCACUAAGUUCAGUAUCAAUAUGGUGAUCUCCCGGGAGUAGGGGUACCACCAGGUUUCCUAAGGAGGGGUGAACCGGCCCAGGUCGGAAACGGAGCAUGUCAAAACUCCUGUUCUGAUCAGUAGUGGGAUCACACCUGUGAAUAGCCCCUGCAUUUCAGCCUGGGCAACAUAGUAAGACUCUGUCUCUU
ensembl:misc_RNA Metazoa_SRP Metazoan signal recognition particle RNA